UCACUACUGAGGAGUCCCACAAUAGGACGAAGCGGCCGUCCUGUGC
rnacentral:hammerhead_ribozyme from 1 species